AUUGAACGCUGGCGGCAGGCCUAACACAUGCAAGUCGAGCGGCAGCGGGAAAGUAGCUUGCUACUUUUGCCGGCGAGCGGCGGACGGGUGAGUAAUGCCUGGGAAAUUGCCCAGUCGAGGGGGAUAACAGUUGGAAACGACUGCUAAUACCGCAUACGCCCUACGGGGGAAAGCAGGGGACCUUCGGGCCUUGCGCGAUUGGAUAUGCCUAGGUGGGAUUAGCUAGUUGGUGAGGUAAUGGCUCACCAAGGCGACGAUCCCUAGCUGGUCUGAGAGGAUGAUCAGCCACACUGGAACUGAGACACGGUCCAGACUCCUACGGGAGGCAGCAGUGGGGAAUAUUGCACAAUGGGGGAAACCCUGAUGCAGCCAUGCCGCGUGUGUGAAGAAGGCCUUCGGGUUGUAAAGCACUUUCAGCGAGGAGGAAAGGUUGAUGCCUAAUACGCAUCAACUGUGAUGUUACUCGCAGAAGAAGCACCGGCUAACUCCGUGCCAGCCGCCGCCGUAAGAC
rnacentral:rRNA from 1 species